CACUGUAAGAAAUGAUUCUGUGGUCAUGUAGAUUUGAAUGAAUGUUUUUGAUUAAAAUGUAUUCAAUAUAAUUGUGUUUUUGAUUUUGAGGCAAAUAUUUAAUUAAAUUUCAAAUAAAAAUGGUUGGAAUAAAAUCUACCCAUUGUAGUUAAAUAAAAUUUAAGCAUUAUAUUUAUCUAAUCCCAAAUGGAGAGAAUAUUGAGUUAAUUCAAAUUAAUGUAAUCGGGCUAAUUUUAAUUGAAAAGCACUUCCUGUCGAAGUGAGCCUUUUUAUUUAAAAAAUGCAGCAGGCCUACAAGGCAUUUGAAGAGAGUAGGCUACAGACAGUGAAUGUUCGUUUUCUUCCACAUUGCUCAUCUUGCAAAAUUUGACUGGUUGACUUAGGUAAGAAAACUUAUUUUGUUAUCACUGGGCUACUAAGAAAAACGCAUGUAGUAGUAUAUUACAAUAUAAAAUGAGUUAUCACAGAAAAAGAGACUCAGCAGCAACACAAAGUUGGCUUCUGUUGGAAGGCUAUGUGAUGUUGUUGCGCUAUAAUAUUGACACAGCAUCAUACAUUUUGGAAGAAUUCUUAUGUAUCGAAGUCAAACGUUUAUUUUGAAGGAUGUGGGUUACCUUUUUCUCUAUCAUGGUUCCUAGGUCUUUUGUGUGUUAAUAUCAUAUCCUAAGUAUGUUUUGUAUGAAAUUGCGUAAAUAAGUACAUCGCGUUUAAUUUUAAGGUUCCAUAAAGCGCAAUAUUUGGGGUUUUCGCUGGAUGAGGAUCUUAUAUUUCAGACGGCACUUGACGCAGUUCCGUUGGCUUUACUUCUCGUGUGUGGAGCUCGUCUUCCAGAGGCAGAUCAAUGCAGAAUUUCAAAGAACAACUACUGUACUUCUGGUACCGAAAUUUAUGUCUGUGUUUGACUGUCACACUCCCAAGCUACUGACGCCAUUUUGUGCCAAAGAUGGAGCACUUGGAAGAAGACUGGAGAUCAUAAUGGAAAUGCUGCAGUGAUUGACUUCCUCCCCAGCACUCUUCGAUUGAGAGGACCAGAGAGAUUGUUCCUCGGUAUCUUACAAAAAAUACCUUGGAGAACAAGGGGGACAUCUUAUCAAAGAAUUCAACGACAGGAACUUGGAGGAACUUGAACAGCUCAUAAUGGCCAUUAAUGUGACCCCAAAGUGUGGAGCUUCUACAAGCAACUGCCCAAAGUACAUUGGGAUCCUCAUUAAGGGCGUGGAAGUCAUCACAGGACUUGGAGAUAUUGCAAGGGCUUGCAUUGUCCUCUUUGGCUUGAAUCGCGCUGAAUCUUGAUUAUCCCAGACUACUGAAGUACACCUUUGAGGUGUUCCAAUUUUUUUUCUUGGAACUGGAUGAUUCAAAGCUUUCUAACAAAGUCCAGUCCCUCAAGAACAAACUUCAGGCUUGAAAUGGGACUGUAUUGCAGUGCAGACUUUUGUGCUACACAAUGUUCAUCUUCUACAGAGCUUGGGAAUUGCACAUUUGAAAGUGCUAUGUUUGU